rnacentral:lncRNA from 1 species
GCUUUUGAGGAGCCUGAGGCAGGAGAGCCAACUGAGCCUAGGAGUUUGAGACCAGAGCAAGACCCUGUCUGGGAAAAAGAGUGAAGCUUAUUUGAAUUUAGAGGCAUCAGGCCAGGGACGGAGACCGAAAGGUACCUGAGUGUUCCACGCUCCUCAGAUUGCAUCACCACUGCUGCCUUCGCCUGUUGCUCUCCUCCCUCUGGCUGCCCCUCCCAGAAAAAGAAAACAAGGAAG